rnacentral:lncRNA from 1 species
UUUUGUAUUUUUAGUAGAGACGGAGUUUCAUCAUGUUGGUCAGGCUGGUCCCGAACUCCUGACCUCGUGAUCCGCCUUCCUCGGCCUCCCAAAGUGCUAAGAUUACAGGCGUGAGCCCCCGCGCCCAGCCGACUCAGUUUUUAUAGUUAAAAUAAACUAGGACCAAUUCGAUAGAAUAAAACUCAGAGUGGUAUAACAAGGACAAAACCAAAAUAGCAGAGUAUGUGGCAGUAGCUUGAGACAUCUAUGAACUCUAAAAAUAAAAACAAAAACCAAUACUUUCUGAAGCAGAGAACCAUACACUUGAAUAGAAAAAAAAAUGCUCCUGAAUUUUCAGUAACGUUCAGCUGAAAUUUAUACUUCCUUAAAUUAUGAAUGUAGUAAACCAACCACAGCAGUAUUACCAGUAUAUAAGAUUUUGUCAUUAAUAGAAACAUACAUUUACUAUUAUUAUUAUUAUUAUUAUACUUUAAGUUCUGGGAUACAUGCGCAGAACGUGCAGUUUUGUUACAUAGGUAUACACGUGGUAUGGUGGUUUGCUGCACCCAUCAACCCGUCAUCUACAUUAGGUAUUUCUCCUAAUGCUAUCCCUCCCCUAGCCCCACCCCGACAGGUCCCAGUGUGUGAUGUUCCUUUCCCUGUGUCCAUGUGUUCUCAUUGUUUAGCUCCCACUUAUGAGUGAGAACAUGUGGUGUUUGGUUUUCUGUUCCUGUGUUAGUUUGCUGAGAAUGAUGGUUUCCAGCUUCAUCCAUGUCCCUACAAAGGACAUGAACUCAUCCUUUUUUAUGGCUGCAUAGUAUUCCAUGGUGUAUAUGUGCCACAUUUUCUUCAUCCAGUCUAUCAUUGAUGGGCAUUUGGGUUGGUUCCAAGUCUUUGUUAUUGUGAAUAGUGCUGCAAUAAACAUGUGUGCAUGUGUCUUUAUAGUAGAAUGAUUUAUAAUCCUUUGAAUAUAUACCCAAUAAUGGGAUUACUGGGUCAAAUGGUAUUUCUAGUUCUAGUUCCUUGAGGAAUCGCCACACUGUCUUCCACAAUGGUUGAACUAAUUUGAAACAUACAUAUUUUUAUAUCACAACUAUUAUAGACAUCUCAAAAUAUUGUUGAUGCUUAUUACUAUUUAGAAAAUACAAUAGUUUUUUAACCUGAGGCCAGAUCAUGUUAUUUCAUUCAUCAAUAAACACAUAUAUCACAACUUUAAUAUUUUGAUAAUUUUAAUUCAAUGUAACUGAUUUCCUUUGUUAUUCUAUAUAUUUUAUUUCAUGCAUUUAAAAACAUUUAAACAUUACAG